rnacentral:rRNA from 1 species
GACGAACGCUGGCGGCGUGCUUAACACAUGCAAGUCGAACGGUGAAGCGCCUUCCUUUUUGGUGGGUGUGGAUGGGUGGCGAACGGGUGAGUAACACGUGAGUAACCUGCCCCCUUCUUCUGGAUAACCGCAUGAAAGUGUGGCUAAUACGGGAUAUUCUGGGUCUGUCGCAUGAUGGGUCUGGGAAAGAUAUUGUUUCGGUGGGGGAUGGGCUCGCGGCCUAUCAGCUUGUUGGUGGGGUGACGGCCUACCAAGGCGGUGACGGGUAGCCGGCCUGAGAGGGUGGACGGUCACACUGGGACUGAGACACGGCCCAGACUCCUACGGGAGGCAGCAGUGGGGAAUAUUGCACAAUGGGCGCAAGCCUGAUGCAGCGACGCCGCGUGAGGGAUGGAGGCCUUCGGGUUGUGAACCUCUUUCGCCAGUGAAGCAGGCCUGCCUCGUUUGUGGGUGGGUUGACGGUAGCUGGAUAAGAAGCGCCGGCUAACUACGUG